CACCCGCUUCGGAUGUUAUCACUCGAUUGAAUGGGCGUUAUCAGUGAUUAUCAGCUCAUUGAUAUGGGCCAGAAGGGGCCUGCUGCGCCUACUGGUAGGCUCAGAAGGCUGUUAUCGUCCAUCCAAAUGGUUAAUCACCGCACGCAAGUAUGACGGUGAAAUUACCACUGGCGUACCAGCAGGGGCGAUCGUUUCCCCAACGCCAUCAACUCCACGCGGACCAAUGACCAGCGAAUUAGUGCAUUAAAAGACGGAUUUUAGAUGACGUCAAGACACAUACAGUUACAUCGGAUCACACACUCCAGCAGCUCUUUUAAGAAGCCAUCUCUUGUAAAGAAAGCUGCUAGAAUUAACAGGGAACUUGGACUUGAAGCUCCCAAUGCUGGUCUUGAAGAAGCUGUCAAGGAGGCUGAACAAGUCAUUCAAAGCUGAAAGUGAAGACCAGAGGAAGGCCUGUCAUGGGAUUUGAAUUAGGCCAUAUUGUCCGUUUACGGAGAACACCAAAAGCUGCAAAGGCAAAAAUUUCCAAUGGUAUGUCUGUGUUUGUCUGAGCACCUUGACUGAACUGUACUAUACUGUUACAUUUGCACAGCAUUUGAUGUUUCUUUAACUUUGGUUUACAUACACCACGGUCCUAUCAGGAAGAACAAAAUAUCAUGUUGAAGUAGUGAUAAUUCAUGCAAUUUACCAAGUCAACAAAUUCAUAUGAUAUUGGACAAGUGUACUUAUACAAAAUUCUACGACUUUCACUCCUACUGCUGUCAUUGGCCAUAGCUUCAACUCGCAUGUAGUUUGUGCCCAUUGGAAGUAGUCAGAGUGUUUGUAUCAUCAAGUUUAUAUUAAGUCCAUUUAAUUCUUUAUUAACCUUUACAAAUUGGUGCCGUCUCUUCCCGUUUUAACAGUACAUGAUAUCUGUCCACACCUCAGAGUAAGCCUUUCUUUCCAGGGGUGCGUUUCCCAAAAGCAUCGUUAGCCAUGCUAUGGACUAUGGUCACAAGUUUGUCGUUACCACCAUAGUUCAAAGAUUCGUUCUUUCCCGACACCAUAGUUCAAACAAACAUUUGCAAACUGCGUCACAAACUUACGUGGUUGGAACUACAGCUCCCGACCUGUGGUUAGAAGCAUAGCAUGCUUUCCUUGUUAGUAAGACAUAUGUGACCCUGGACCACAAAACCAAGUCGCUGAGGUUUAUUUGUAGCAAUAGCCAAAAAUACAUUGUAUGGUCAAAAUUAUUGAUUUUUCUUUUAUGGCAAAAAUCAUUAGGAAAUUAAGUAAA